UGGGGAAUUUUGGACAAUGGGCGAAAGCCUGAUCCAGCAAUGCCGCGUGUGUGAAGAAGGCCUUCGGGUUGUAAAGCACUUUUGUCCGGAAAGAAAUCCUUGGCUCUAAUACAGUCGGGGGAUGACGGUACCGGAAGAAUAAGCACCGGCUAACUACGUGCCAGCAGCCGCGGUAAUACGUAGGGUGCAAGCGUUAAUCGGAAUUACUGGGCGUAAAGCGUGCGCAGGCGGUUUGCUAAGACCGAUGUGAAAUCCCCGGGCUCAACCUGGGAACUGCAUUGGUGACUGGGCAGGCUAGAGUAUGGCAGAGGGGGGUAGAAUUCCACGUGUAGCAGUGAAAUGCGUAGAGAUGUGGAGGAAUACCGAUGGCGAAGGCAGCCCCCUGGGCCAAUACUGACGCUCAUGCACGAAAGCGUGGGGAGCAAACAGGAUUAGAUACCCUGGUAGUCCACGCCCUAAACGAUGUCAACUAGUUGUUGGGGAUUCAUUUCCUUAGUAACGUAGCUAACGCGUGAAGUUGACCGCCUGGGGAGUACGGUCGCAAGAUUAAAACUCAAAUGAAUUGACGGGGUCAUAGCUGUUUCCU
rnacentral:rRNA from 1 species